rnacentral:lncRNA from 1 species
CAAUGGCCCUGGCAAUUUUCAAGAAAAUGAAUGGUGUGAGCAACAAGAUUAUCUGCUAGUGCCCUUCAUAACCUGCAGCCUUUGCCUCCCAAGGAAAAGAAUUGAGCAAUUCACAACUGAGAUCUGAAUUGUUUGAUACAGUGUCCCUAGAGCUAUGUGUAGUGUCUGGCACAAAGUAGGUGCUUGUUGACAGUUAGUUACAAGAAGAAAAGAGAAGUGACAAAG